CGAUCCCUUUUUAUUGAUGAACAGGUGGAGCAAGAGCAAACUACAGGUCAUCGUUGGCACUGUAGCAUUUGGUAUGGGAAUCAACAAACCUGAUGUCAGGUUCGUCAUCCAUCACAUCUUGAGUAAAUCAAUGGAAACAUACUACCAGGUUUUCUACCGUUCCAGCUAAGCUUACA